rnacentral:lncRNA from 1 species
UUAGGUCUCCUUGUGGUGGUACAGUGUGUGCUCUUACAGUCCUUGUGAGACACUGCCUGCUGUCCUCAAGCCAACAGGGGCCUUCCUGUCUGCAGGCCACUCCCACUGCUUUUCUGUGAAUGUUGAUGAACUGUGUCUUUCCUUUUCUUGCCUGUGCGUCUAAGAAUUGCUGGGUAUAACCUGAUUGUAACUUUUUAAGACACUAAUACACAGUUGUGCAAAGUGGCUACACCGUAUUAUAUUCCCACAGAAACAAAAAACUUCCCAGUUCUGCAAAUCCCUCCAACCUCUGGUAUCGUCAUUACCUUUGAUUAAAUUCAUUCGACUCCGUGUGAAGGGUCACUGUACUGUGGUUAACGCCAAAAGAAAUGGUUGCCACCUAGUGGCCAACUGUACACAUUACAACUGGGAAAGAAACCUAGCCCUAACUCUCCUUAAGCCUAUCUUCAAAACUGGUUUAAAAAUUUUUAUUUAUUUCACGGUUUUCUUUCUGUUAGCAUACGAAGAGCAACCUGAGCCAGAUUUAAAAUAUUUUCCUCUUUAUCACAUUAUUACCUCAGAAACUAGGUUGGCAGCUUUUUUAAUUAAAAAGAGUUACUUGGGUGAGGGUGGUGCACAGGACAACUUUAGAGGUUUUCUCUUUCCACCAUGUGAAACCCAGAG